rnacentral:rRNA from 1 species
UAACGCGUAUGCAACUUACCUAUCAGAGGGGAUAGCCCGGCGAAAGUCGGAUUAAUACCCCAUAAAACAGGGGUCCCGCAUGGGAAUAUUUGUUAAAGAUUCAUCGCUGAUAGAUAGGCAUGCGUUCCAUUAGGCAGUUGGCGGGGUAACGGCCCACCAAACCGACGAUGGAUAGGGGUUCUGAGAGGAAGGUCCCCCACAUUGGUACUGAGACACGGACCAAACUCCUACGGGAGGCAGCAGUGAGGAAUAUUGGUCAAUGGCCGAGAGGCUGAACCAGCCAAGUCGCGUGAAGGAAGAAGGAUCUAUGGUUUGUAAACUUCUUUUAUAGGGGAAUAAAGUGGAGGACGUGUCCUUUUUUGUAUGUACCCUAUGAAUAAGCAUCGGCUAACUCCGUGCCAGCAGCCGCGGUAAUACGGAGGAUGCGAGCGUUAUCCGGAUUUAUUGGGUUUAAAGGGUGCGUAGGUGGUGAUUUAAGUCAGCGGUGAAAGUUUGUGGCUCAACCAUAAAAUUGCCGUUGAAACUGGGUUACUUGAGUGUGUUUGAGGUAGGCGGAAUGCGUGGUGUAGCGGUGAAAUGCAUAGAUAUCACGCAGAACUCCGAUUGCGAAGGCAGCUUACUAAACCAUAACUGACACUGAAGCACGAAGGCGUGGGGAUCAAACAGGAUUAGAUACCCUGGUAGUCCACGCAGUAAACGAUGAUUACUAGGAGU